rnacentral:rRNA from 1 species
UUCUUCGGAGAGUUUGAUCCUGGCUCAGGAUGAACGCUGGCGGCGUGCCUAAUACAUGCAAGUCGAGCGAACUGAAUAGAAGCUUGCUUCUAUGAAGUUAGCGCCGGACGGGUGAGUAACACGUGGGCAACCUUCCUGUAAGACUGGGAUCACUUCGGGAAACCGAAGCUAAUACCGGAUACCAUCUUCUCAUU